AAGUAGUAAUUUUUAAUAAAACUUAUUUAUUUUGGCGGCAUUUCAUCUUAUUAGAGGAACUUGUUUAUUAAUCGACAACCCCCGAUCACUUUCACUUUAUUAUAAAAUUUAUAUACCGCCAUCUAAAGAAUUAAUAUAAAAAUUUAUUCAAAACAACAUCUAAAAAGAUAGGUCAAGGUGUAAUCUAUUAUAAAGUUUAAAUGAGUUACUUUAAAUAUAAUUUAAAAUUAACAAAUAAAAAUUUAUAAAUUUUAAGGAUUUAAAAGUAAUAUAUUAAUAAUAUUUAUCUAUGAAUUAGAUUAUAAAUGUGU
rnacentral:rRNA from 1 species